rnacentral:tRNA from 1 species
AGGGCGGUAGCUCAGUGGUCAGAGCAGGGGACUCAUAAUCCCUGGGUCGUGGGUUCGAUCCCCACCCGCCCUA